rnacentral:rRNA from 1 species
CCUACGGGAGGCUGCAGUGGGGAAUAUUGCACAAUGGGCGCAAGCCUGAUGCAGCCAUGCCGCGUGUGUGAAGAAGGCCUUCGGGUUGUAAAGCACUUUCAGCGGGGAGGAAGGCGGUGAGGUUAAUAACCUCAUCGAUUGACGUUACCCGCAGAAGAAGCACCGGCUAACUCCGUGCCAGCAGCCGCGGUAAUACGGAGGGUGCAAGCGUUAAUCGGAAUUACUGGGCGUAAAGCGCACGCAGGCGGUCUGUCAAGUCGGAUGUGAAAUCCCCGGGCUCAACCUGGGAACUGCAUUCGAAACUGGCAGGCUAGAGUCUUGUAGAGGGGGGUUGAAUUCCUGGUGUAGCAGUGAAAUGCGUAGAGAUCAAGAGGAACACCGAUGGCGAAGGCAGCCCCCUGGGCCGAUACUGACGCUCAUGCACGAAAGCGUGGGGAGCAAACAGGAUUAGAUACCCGAGUAGUC